UACGAAGGGUGCAAGCGUUACUCGGAAUCACUGGGCGUAAAGCGUGCGUAGGCGGUUCGUUAAGUCUGCUGUGAAAGCCCUGGGCUCAACCUGGGAACUGCAGUGGAUACUGGCGGACUAGAGUGUGAUAGAGGAUGGUGGAAUUCCCGGUGUAGCGGUGAAAUGCGUAGAGAUCGGGGGGGAACACCAGUGGCGAAGGCGGCCAUCUGGAUCAACACUGACGCUGAGGCACGAAAGCGUGGGGAGCAAACAGG
rnacentral:rRNA from 1 species